rnacentral:rRNA from 1 species
CCUACGGGAGACAGCAGUGAGGAAUAUUGGUCAAUGGGCGCGAGCCUGAACCAGCCAAGUCGCGUGAGGGAAGACGGUCCUAUGGAUUGUAAACCUCUUUUGUCGGGGAGCAAAACACUCCACGCGUCGCGGUCCGCGAGUACCCGAAGAAAAAGCAUCGGCUAACUCCGUGCCAGCAGCCGCGGUAAUACGGAGGAUGCGAGCGUUAGCCGGAUUUAUUGGUGUUAAAGGGUGCGCAGGCGGAAGAUCAAGUCAGCGGUAAAAGUGAGAGGCUCAACCUCUUCGAGCCGUUGAAACUGGUUUUCUUGAGUGAGUGAGAAGUAUGCGGAAUGCGUGGUGUAGCGGUGAAAUGCAUAGAGAUCACGCAGAACUCCGAUUGCGAAGGCAGCAUACCGGCGCUCAACUGACGCUCAUGCACGAAAGUGUGGGGAUCGAACAGGAUUAGAUACCCGAGUAGUC